UCUCUCUCAUUUCCAAUCUCAUUUUCUCUUUCUUCUUCUACUUUCGGUCUCCAUUUCACUAAAGGAACUAGCUCCAUGGAAGUGGAGAAAUCAGUAACCCAAGAUGCUAUUUCAACCAAACUAGUAAACCUUCUAUAGAUUCGUCUUCUGAAAUCCCUCAAAUCGCUAGUCGAGUUGUAGAUCUCAAAUCUGCUGGGAACAGAUUCAGCUUCAUUAUUUCUCUAUUCUUCUCAAAAUCGAAAUUGAAAAAAAUAAUCUGGUAUCAAAUUAGAUGUGAGAUAUGAUUUGAAUCUAAGGGGUUUCAUGAUUAGUGUGAUAUGUGAUUUGAAGCAAGGGUUUUUGUUCGUGUUUUUUUUCUUCAGUAAAUGGAUAAUUAUCUCUCAGAUCCAUUGAUCAGCAUCAAGAACUCUUAGACCAAUUACCCCUUAUAUAAAAGCUCAUCUUUUUUCAGCGGUGAGUCAUAUUUAUAUUUUUUCUUUUUCCUUCUAUUUUUGGAUUUUCUUUUAUGAUCAAUUUUAUUUUCUGAAUCUUAGAGGUAGAGAAGGCAAUAGAGGAGUCAAGUUGGUGGUGGAUCUGAUGUUAUUGUCAAUGUUGUUCCUAAGCAGGGAUUAUGUGGUAGAGGAAGAUUAUAAAGUACUCAAUUCUUAGUUUAUCUCAGUAUCUCUAUAAGGGUUUCUCUUUGUGCAGCCACUAAAUUUUUGUCUUUGUGUUUGCAAUAAGAACAAUAGUAUCUCCGAUGAAAUCAGUGUGGAGGUACCAAGGUAAUGGUGUUACAUAUUUAAUGAUUUUUCCUUGUAUGCUAUCAAAUGAUUAGUGCUUUAAGGAUGUUGUUUCUAGACUAGUUAGAUCUCAAAUGGAUAUUUUUGUUUGCAAUCUUUAUAACAAAUGGGUAUUCUCUCCUGUAUAUUCCUAGGUUCAUCUGUAUCGCGCAUGAGUUGUAUGAUUAAAUUUUGAAGAUAGGAUACUAUUUAGUUGCUCUGCAAAAAAGAAAACCAUUUCAAAUAUAAGUCACUACAUCAUGUGUGCCAAUGUUUUUGGAAGAUUGGUACUUGUUUUUGAAAUUUCGAAGACUCGUACUUGUUUUUGAAGUCUUACUCUGAUGAUUUUAGAGUAAAAGCCCGAUGCAACCUACUGAAACCCACCAUUUGCGCCAAUCUUCUGAAUUAGCUUGCUUACCUAUAUGUUACUCUCUACUUUAUUCACGUUCUGGUACUCUUACCGUGUCCUAUUCCCUAUAUUCUUUUUGAACUCUAGAUCAGUUCAUCAUCGAGAAGUUAGUCAUUACGAGGAUGCAAAACCUUGGAACGAAGGUGUGAUCUUGCAUUCUACUGCACAACACGGAAUGAAAUCGAGAAAUAUGAUGCUGUUAGUUUGGUCACAGGCUCAACUAUGGCUUGUACUUCUCAAGCAGUUGAUGUACUGAGAAAAGCUAAUUGCUCCAACAAAGGCUGCUGGAACUGGAGAGGUAUGUCAUUGAUGAGAGGUGGGGAUUGAGUAACAUAAAUAUUGGAUCAGCACCGCUCUGACUCGGGAUUUAAAUUUGGGUCUGCUGAACAUACAUCAGAAGCAAUAGUGAAGAAGUAUGGUGCCGUAAGGUUAACUUUUGAAGUUGAAGGCCUAACUGUGCUGAGAACAACCCAGGAUUUGCUAUGAAAUCUCAGGCUUUCUGAAUAGUUCAGUUAUGUCUCACAACCAGGUGCUUGCUCAGAUAAGAGAUGAAGUCAUGAGCGAAGGUCAUCAAUGACAGAUUAGGCAUUUUUGAGGGUCUCAUGACCACUGUCCAUGCAGUGACUGCAAAAAAAAAGACAUUUGACGGUCUAUCACGCAAGGACUGGAGAGGUGGAAGGGCUGCUUCAUUCAGUAUCAUUCCUAGCAGCACUGCUCAGUUGAGGGAAAAGUUGGUGUGCAUCAUUUGGAUGAGGUUCUGCAAGAGGAAACUUCAUCGUCAAAUGCCACAGAGGGGCAGGAGAUACACUCAGUCAAUUCGUUAAACUUUUAUCCGGUAAGAGCCUUGGUGGGAUUAUUCUUGCUAAGUCAUCUGUUUUACCAGUCGUGGCUUGUCAAGUUCACUUCAAAUAUCGUCAAUUUGGACCUUGUUGGAUUAAACGAAAUGCUUGUUGAUGGUAUCUGUGAUGUAACAAUUACCAACGAUGGUGCUACGAACUAAAGUUGUUCGAAGUUCUAAGGUAAGAUACAUACAUUUGAGAUUUAAUCGGUUUGAUAAAUUUUGCAGGUAACAUCCAAUUUUGUGAAUUGCCACUCAACGCUUGUGUCAAGAUAGUUGGAUUGCAGUUGAUGCCGACAUUAGAUAAACAUCUAAACAUCCUCGGUCAUCAGUAUAUAUCCAUCUCUUACAACCUACUGUUGAAAACAAGUUAACAUGAUACAAUCUCAAAGAGUUAUCUUUAUCAUUACCUUUCAACUGAGCAUUUUAAAUAUAAAACUAUGAUAUUAGAUGUCUACUUGGAUACAUUUAUUAAGCUUUGUUUCUCUCCCGCCCUGUAAACAAACUAAUGCAGUCUUUGUUGUGUCAGUGGGGAAAAGCUUAAUAUCAUUAACAAAUGUUAUCGUGUAAUCUAGUGUUUUUAUGAAGUUAUAUGAACUUGCCAGCUUGUCUUUUUAUGUUGGUUGUAUUGAUUUUGGAAACUUAUUUUUUGCUGCAGGUACUCUAUUAUUGCCUAUUGGGUGACUCCGUUGUUUGUAUGGUUGCUGGUGGUGGUUUGUGGGGAUGGAAUUGGGAAACGCUCUCCACAUUUUAUUGAGUAUUCUGACCUUCCCGCAUUAAUCAGCUGAUGGCGGAACUUAUUUUUGCAGUAAAGUUAACUGUUUGAAGUAUGUGCUAGCUAAUUUCAUCAUCAUCGGAGUUUACCGUUUGCUGUUUAAUCAAUCAUAUAUUAGUUUAUCAUCCUGUAACGAAAUCUUUGAACUUAAUUACUUGUCUUGUUGAAUGAACUUUUAUUGCUCUGAACUCAAUAUUUUAUUCCUUUUUUGUGUAAUUUGAACUAUGUGAAUCAAUGAAUGUUGAAUUGGAAGAUUAUUUGUGU